ACAUGCAAGUCGAGCGGACAGAUGGGAGCUUGCUCCCUGAUGUUAGCGGCGGACGGGUGAGUAACACGUGGGUAACCUGCCUGUAAGACUGGGAUAACUCCGGGAAACCGGGGCUAAUACCGGAUGGUUGUUUGAACCGCAUGGUUCAGACAUAAAAGGUGGCUUCGGCUACCACUUACAGAUGGACCCGCGGCGCAUUAGCUAGUUGGUGAGGUAACGGCUCACCAAGGCGACGAUGCGUAGCCGACCUGAGAGGGUGAUCGGCCACACUGGGACUGAGACACGGCCCAGACUCCUACGGGAGGCAGCAGUAGGGAAUCUUCCGCAAUGGACGAAAGUCUGACGGAGCAACGCCGCGUGAGUGAUGAAGGUUUUCGGAUCGUAAAGCUCUGUUGUUAGGGAAGAACAAGUGCCGUUCAAAUAGGGCGGCACCUUGACGGUACCUAACCAGAAAGCCACGGCUAACUACGUGCCAGCAGCCGCGGUAAUACGUAGGUGGCAAGCGUUGUCCGGAAUUAUUGGGCGUAAAGGGCUCGCAGGCGGUUUCUUAAGUCUGAUGUGAAAGCCCCCGGCUCAACCGGGGAGGGUCAUUGGAAACUGGGGAACUUGAGUGCAGAAGAGGAGAGUGGAAUUCCACGUGUAGCGGUGAAAUGCGUAGAGAUGUGGAGGAACACCAGUGGCGAAGGCGACUCUCUGGUCUGUAACUGACGCUGAGGAGCGAAAGCGUGGGGAGCGAACAGGAUUAGAUACCCUGGUAGUCCA
rnacentral:rRNA from 1 species